ACCUAUCACAUGUCAUCCUGAAUGUGCCCAAUUUCAUCCAAUCUGGGAAGCUAAGCAGGAUGGGGCCUGGUUAGUACUUGGAGGGAAGAUCCAUGCCUAGAAAUUUU
rfam:Cavia porcellus supercont2_145 genomic scaffold, whole genome shotgun sequence.